ensembl:lncRNA
CGGAGAGCCAACCACAGCACAGCUUGUUACCUUCUACACAGAUCAUAGUGUGUCAGCAUUGUCUGUCAUUUAUCAACUCAGUGUUUCAGUGGGGCCUGCCCAUGGCUGCUGAUCAAUAACCUUUUAUGUUUAUAUUUCUAAACAGGCAGAGUGUGAGACAUUGGUCUAUUCACAGGAUACUUUCAACCAACUUCAAACAGAAGGCUGAUUGCUCUCUUGGCAUGUUCAGCCUCAUUUGAUUAGUCUUGUGCUUCAAGAUGUGGUCAAACAUGGGAGCUCUGAUCUGGCUCUUUCUGGUUCCAAGCCUGUUAAAAACAACAGCUCUACUGAUUUCACAUUGCACUUUGCAGAAUGAUUUUUUAGAGUCACUGAAACCUCAAGAUUUAUUUUAUUAUUUUGGUACUAUUUCCAUUAAAUCAGUGCCUCACUUUGAGCUGGUGUGGGUGAAUUGUUCAAGGAAUGAGUCUUUCAGAGGGCUAUGGGGGUGCUCGUUUCACAGUGAAGAAGAGAGCUUUGAGCUGGGCCAACACAGAGAUGAACAACCUGUGUCCUGUCCUAUGAGUCUGGAGAUGGUGAUCAACUCAACGGUCAGCAUGGUGAAGAAAAGGGAGGAUAUGUGCUGCGAGCAGCUGAAGUUACUGAGACCAGCACAUACGAGAACUCUUCUCCCCAUCUGCCAUGGCAAAUUACAAGGUCUGAUUCAGUCAGGGGAGAGGAGGCUGAAUAUUCGGCCCGUGCUUCAAAAACACAUAGACCAUCUGAAGGAGCUUACUAUGGAUUUACCUUCUGGUGUACCUCACCUGCUAUUAAUCCACACAUUACCAGUGAGGACACGUUUUAAACAGCCUAAGAGUGAGUGAACAUUGUACUGGUUAUAUACAGUAUCAUACAGUAUCAUUGACCAUAAGCCUAUAACUUGCCUGAAGUCCACAACAGAACAUCUAUAUCCAUCUAUUCAAAGUGCUGUUCAAGUCAAGUCAAA